UACGUAGGUGGCAAGCGUUGUCCGGAAUUAUUGGGCGUAAAGCGCGCGCAGGCGGUCCUUUAAGUCUGAUGUGAAAGCCCACGGCUCAACCGUGGAGGGUCAUUGGAAACUGGGGGACUUGAGUACAGAAGAGAAGAGUGGAAUUCCACGUGUAGCGGUGAAAUGCGUAGAGAUGUGGAGGAACACCCGUGGCGAAGGCGGCUCUCUGGGACGGUACUGACGCUGAGGCGCGAAAGCGUGGGGAGCAAACAGG
rnacentral:rRNA from 1 species